rnacentral:lncRNA from 1 species
CUUUCUGAGAACCUGUGCUUUAAUGAGUAAACUCACGCAGCUGCAACAAAUGCUGCCACCUCCUGGCAUCUUUUAAAAAGGCUGGAGUGCAGUGGCGUGAUCUCGGCUCACUGCAACCUCCGCCUCCCGGGUUCAAGUGAUUCUCCUGCCUCAGCCUCCCAAAUAGCUGUGAUUACAGGGAACACAUUGUUGCUUAGACACCCAAUAUGGAAAUUAUUCUUCUCCCUCAGUUCAAAUGAGAUAAAGAUCCUCCUCUCCUCAUAGUGAACAUGUGGUCAGAGUGUCCAUGUAACUAACUCCUGGUUAAGAGAAUAUGAGUUAUGAGUAGAAGGCACACGUUCAGCUUCUGGCUUCUGUCCUUGGAAAGAGUGAUGAUUCCAUCCUUUGCUGGCUUUCUUCCUUCCCACUGACUGGAAUGUGGACUUGGUAGUGAGCUACCUUGGACUAUGUGGAUGAAGACAAAGAUAAAAGGAACCAAGGACUCUGAUGAUUCUGUAGAGAAGAGGAACGAUAGCUGCUCAAACUUUCACAUGAAAGAAGAAUAAACUAUCAGAUUU